rnacentral:lncRNA from 1 species
GGAAUGGUUGGGGUCAGGCUAGACCUGACCCCGUGGCUGGCAGAGAUGCACCUGAGGUUGGGGGCCCAAUAGGCUCAGCUUUGAUCCACCAAGUGGCCCCACUCCCUCGCCCCAGACCCGAGGAGUGUCAAGUGCCGGGUUCCAGGGCCCCAGGCCUGCCCUGUACUUUCACCGAGCAUCGCCACUACCUCUCCCAGCCCCUCACCAGACCCCCGCCCUGGGCUCCCCAAGGCUGACUCUGGUCCUCCCAGCCCCAUGCCGGGCCCCCACCCAUCCGCAGCUGAUCAGGCCGCUAAGCCCUAAAGGGGCCAGGGGCAGGAAGGAGACCAAGUCUGCCAGAGAGCAAAGAGGAGACCCAGGGCUCCCAGCCUCGGGAAGGGGCGGGGGGGACGGGCCACACCAGUGCUCCAAAUGCCAGAAUCCGAAACCUCAGAGAACGCGGCAGGACCGGUGGGGAGAAGCCAUCCGGCCAAGGUCACCCAGUGUCUUUCCAGAUGAGGAGCUGGAGUCACUGGCCAGAGGACACACCUGACCUGCUGCACAGCGAACUCCCAUUCUGCUCCGUGGUGGGUCCGAGCACUGACAGGAGCUCUUGGCCUUCUGUCACCAACCCAAAGCCACCAAGUGUCAGAGAUUCCCUGAUCUCCAACCUGCAUUUUCACGGUGCCAGAGUGGGGGACUCCGAUUAGGAGAGAGGUUCUCAAUGUGAUAAGCAGGCUGCGUCACCCUGCCUGCUUCUCAGAACUCCCAGGUAUCCUUCAGGGACAAGGCACCAGCAGGUCCUUGGCUUAUGACUGUGGGCCCAGGAGACCUUCAGUUGCCCUAUGCAGAGAGGUGGGGCCUGCUCCUGUGUCUCCAGUUCCCUGUGGCUUCUUCCUGGGCAGGGAAGGGUAGGGAUCCCGUCUGGGAAGAUGAAGGGUAGCUGCCACAUGGCACAGUUUGCUCCUAGAGGUGGAGGCCCCAGUGCCUACUGGGAGAGGAGGUGUUGAGGGUGAGGAGAGCCUACAGGCCACUCUGAGGGGCUGUCAGCCAUUGCAU